UGGGAACCGCCGCCUAAUCGUCACCAUCGGCGAGCCGGGGAUCCAAUUCACACUGGGGUGAAUCCGCGACCCAGCGGUAGGGAUUUUCCUUCGUCCCGAACCCGUCAGCUAACCCGGCCGGCGGCCGACGGAAGGAAAU
rnacentral:sRNA from 1 species